AGGUCGGAAUAGCCUGGUGGUGGAGUUAUGGCUCACCAAGGGGACGAUCCUUAAGUGGUCUGAGGGGAUGAUCAGUCACACCGGAANUGAGACACGUCCCAGACUCUUACGGGAGGCAGCAGUGGGGGAAUAGUGGACAAUGGGCGAAAGCCUGAUCCAGCCAUGCCGCGUGUGUGAAGAAGUUCUUCGGAUUGUAAAGCACUUUAAGUUGGGAGGAAGGGUUGUAGAUUAAUACUCUGCAAUUUUGACGUUACCGACAGAAUAAGCACCGGCUAACUCUGUGCCAGCAGCCGCGGUAAUACAGAGGGUGCAAGCGUUAAUCGGAAUUACUGGGCGUAAAGCGCGCGUAGGUGGUUUGUUAAGUUGGAUGUGAAAGCCCCGGGCUCAACCUGGGAACUGCAUCCAAAACUGGCAAGCUAGAGUACGGUAGAGGGUGGUGGAAUUUCCUGUGUAGCGGUGAAAUGCGUAGAUAUAGGAAGGAACACCAGUGGCGAAGGCGACCACCUGGACUGAUACUGACACUGAGGUGCGAAAGCGUGGGGAGCAAACAGGAUUAGAUAAUCUGGUAGUC
rnacentral:rRNA from 1 species